UCCCAGCGUGUACGCUCUUGGUACGCCGCAAUUCGCAAUGAAUAUGCGACGUCCCGGGAGUGCGAGUCAACAUAUAAAUCGUCAACCAUCUUCCCUAAAAUUACCGAAGUAAUUUUUUACUUUCAUUACGCCUUUAGGUAUUGUAUGUACCCAAUGACUUGCGCACAUGCUAGACUCCUUGGUCCGUGUUUCAAGACGGGUCCUGAGAACAACCCAAAACAUUAUCGUCGCUGACGGAUGAAUGAAGCUUAUAAAACAUACAGAGGACAUCAUAACCCACAGUAAUAUAUGCGCAGAAUCGGCACUAGGUCCGUUUUCUACUGACCAUACAUUAACUUGCUAUGAGCCUGAAUACAAACAUAAUUUGUGGCUUAUCAUCAUAUGUCAUACCAUCGGGUAGAUGUCGGGACACCAUAAGUCCGGUACGCACAAAUUAAAAAAUUUGACGUCACGGUCUCCAUUAUGGACCUUAGACAACAUACUCAAUGGGUCGCGACGUCCUACAAGGGGAGAAGUGCAUGCCUCCAAUAACAGACUUUAAUAUACAAUAGCGGAGCAUAAUAUACUGACUACGUACCCUGCCGAAACAGAAUGUACGCACGCAUAAAAUGUCUCAAUAUAAAUCACCAUCAGUAUCGCUAUUAUUGGAAAAAGCAAAUGAAUCUCCCCGUUCGACCUUUCGGGCUUCUCAGGUUUACCCCUGAACGGUUUCACGUACUCUUGAACUCUCUCUGCAAAGUUCUUUUCAACUUUCCCUCACGGUACUUGUUCGCUAUCGGUCUCGUGGUCAUAUUUAGCCUUAGAUGGAGUUUACCACCCACUUAGAGCUGCACUCUCAAGCAACUCGACUCUAAGGAGAAACCCACCCAAAUAUACUGUAUGGUCACUACGGGCCUAGCACCCUCUAUGGGCGAACGGGCCCCCUUCAAGAAGGACUUGGACACAUCAGUAAAUACUUAGGUUAAACGGGCUCUCCCAAACACUACAUUGCCCAGCGACCGAUUAACAAUCGCGGGCUUCAGUGCUGGGCUUAUCCCUGUUCGCUCGCCGCUACUAAGGGAAUCCU
rnacentral:rRNA from 1 species